rnacentral:rRNA from 1 species
GACAGAGGGUGCGAACGUUGUUCGGAAUUACUGGGAGUAAAGCGCAUGUAGGCGGCCGCGCAAGUCGGGCGUGAAAUCCCACGGCUCAACCGUGGAAGUGCACUCGAAACUGCGCAGCUAGAGUCCUGGAGAGGAAGGUGGAAUGCUUGGUGUAGAGGUGAAAUUCGUAGAUAUCAAGCGGAACACCGGUGGCGAAGGCGGCCUUCUGGACAGUGACUGACGCUGAGAUGCGAAAGCGUGGGGAGCAAACAGG